rnacentral:tRNA from 1 species
AGAGAUUUAAGUUAACAAAACUAAAGACCUUCAAAGUCCUAAAUAUGAGUUUAAACCUCCUAAUCUUUG